AUCCUGCUGACGAGUCCAAAAUAUGACUGAAUGUGCAUCCUGGAU
rnacentral:hammerhead_ribozyme from 1 species